rnacentral:lncRNA from 1 species
CCCUGUUCCUCUUCAGAAUUGCAGUGGUGAUGUCUUCUGUCACUGCCGAUACCAAAGGCUUCAUGAUAUAAGCACAAUUCUGGAACAUGGUGACCUCUCCAUUCCAGAUGUGAACUUACUCUGGCUCAGGCAGUAUCGUUCAUGAGGACGUGCCUUUGGAGGCCCAUCCCACCUGUUCUUCAUAUGUGCUCGAAAGGGUCUGUGUCCCAUGACGAGUACAACUUAGACUGCCAAGCUGGGACCCCUGCUGCAAGCCAAAAAUGACCGGAGGAAGGAGAACCAAGCUCAUUUACUCUUUACUUUGGAAAAAGGAAACAGCAGAAACUUGGGGCACAGUCUCUUAAUGGAAAGUCACCUUAGAACAUAAUUUCUCAACAAGAAGUUGAGUCACAUAUCCAACAAGUGCAACAGAGGAGAAAGCUGAAGCACCAGAUGGUUAAAAGGACUGUUCAAGACAGCCUUGCAAUUUUGACCAAGGAAGAAAGCUGAAGAGUGCUAGGGCAAGAGAGGAACUACGUCCAGAACAAUUCAUAAUUCCAAAUUCUCACUUCCAUGAUUUCAAUGCUGAAUGUGUACUUCUCUAGCUAAAAAUACAAUUGCUUAAGUAAAAUCAUCAUUAUUUACAGUCUUGCUGAAUUGUGGUGUUGUUAUUAACCAGAAACAACAGCUUAAGUCAUUGUGUUUUGAAAUACUUGAUUUAUUAUCCUGAUUGUUUGAAAAUGCUACCUGAAAUUUUUCCUGGCACUUUUGAGUCAUUCUCACCAGGUACACACAUCUGGUGUUUCUCCAUGACACAGUAGCUGUUCCCCCUUUAAUUUCUUUCUUCUUCCUAACAGACACUGGAGUUAUAAUAUCAAACUUCCAUUCAUGAUGAAUAUUUGAACUACCAUGGAGACUGAGAGUCCAGGGAAGAAAAUAUGUCCUGUUGAUAUGUAUCUCAAUGCAUCUUCCUUUCUAUCUUCUUCCUGGGGCAGCCUCACAUAUAAUUCAG